GUUUAGAAUUGAUUCCUACUUCUUUCUGUGGCUGUUGUAGACGCCUUGUAUGCACCGGGGGUGCUUGGUGUACAAGGAGGGUCUGUGCGCGUGCUCGGUGGCCAUGGGCUUCCGUUCGGACCUGGGGCGUGACAUUUAUACUCAUAAAUUUUCAUCCAUUCGAUGAAGAAACGUGCGGUUAGAUUGACAGUGAUCCCCUAAGGUUGAAUAGUAUGAUCUAACGGAUGAAAAUGGUCAAAGGGGUAGAUGUAAUAGUCAAAAAAUUAUGAGUAUAAAGAAAUCCACAUUCAUAAAAGUAUAAUAGCUGAACUCUCUCUAUAUUUAUAGGAUAUAAAACGCAGUAGAUGAGCAUGUGACAAAAAAUAUCAAAAAAAGAGGUGGAGAAGGAAUAUGAG
rnacentral:lncRNA from 1 species